rnacentral:tRNA from 1 species
GCGCUCGUGGCGAAAUGGCAGACGCGCUAGUUUCAGGUACUAGUGGUUAACACCGUGGAGGUUCGACUCCUCUCGAGCGCA